AGCUUGGAUUAGUGAGACUCUACUGUACUCCAUGUGUUACUGCAUUACUCCCAGUUUUUGAUCUCUCUUAUCUUGACAUCCAUUGCUUAAACUACUAAAAAGAAUCCCCCCAAAAGUUGAUCUGUCUUCUAUAUUAUUGUCCAUUAUUUUGAAAUCCAAUAGUCCUGUCUUUCUUCUUCAAUCAUCAUCUUGUAUUUGAUCUUGGUUCAAUUGCUUGUCUUUUCUUUUCAGUAUUUAUACCCCGCCCUUCUCGCCCCGAAGGGGACUCAGAGCGGCUUACAGAACACGCAUACGGCAAACAUUCAGUGCCUGAUUCUACAAUUAACAAGGACAGACAACGCAGACACAGAACAUUACAAAUCACGAUUGCAUUGGGACUGUACCUAUUUCGUCACAAGAAGAACUUCACUUUAUCUUCGAUUUCAAAAUUUGAGCUUCCCCAUUCAUUCUUGUUUCUCCUCUUUCUUCCUUUUCUGUUUUCAGAGUUACCUCUUUGUCUUUGUCUAUAACAGAUUUCAUAUGCAAUAGGGUAACAGUGUAAAUC
rnacentral:lncRNA from 11 species